AGAUAAACAGUCGAUUAUAAGCAUUAAAGUUUACCAACGAAUACAACUUUGUAAAAGUAUUUAGAGCAUAAAUAAACAAAAUAUGAUGAAAAAAUUACUAAUAUUUAUGAUAUUUUAUUUAAUGGAAUGCAUUAAUUGCUGUGCCAUAAAGACUGAUCGGCCGUUAACUGAAGAAUUAAAGAAGAAUUUGAAGUCACCAUGGCUGGUGCUUAUUAUUGACGAAACUAUAAGUUCACCAAUUGGUAUCAGUUAUGGCACUAUUAUAAAAGAAAACCUUGUCUUAACCUCAGCAAAAGCAGUAUUUGAUCACGAUGUUGAUAAUUUAUUGGCUGUGACUGAUUGCAUGAUAACUGGGUGGCGUGACAAAGUAAAUCGUGAAUCAUGUGAGUCCAGAAGAACAGAGGAAAUUUAUCCGAAUCAUGUUUAUAAAGAAAACAUCAGGGAUCUUGAUUUGGUCGUUUUAUUUUUGGAUGAACCUUUUGAACUGACCUUUAGAAUAAAUACAAUUCCAAUGAUAAAUGAUGAUAAUAUUGAUGAUAUUGAUAAAAAUAAUUGUUUCGUUUAUCACUGGAUAAUUGAAUAUGAACACGUUAAUUGGGUACCUAUCACAGUUCAAUAUCGCUUGGUGCCUGAUGAAGGAGGAUUUAAAAUAGAUAAAAAUGAAGGAAAAAAAUUAAUCAAUGAUGUAGAUUGUUUUCUCUAUCAAUGUCCAAAUUUUUUGACUAUUGGGAACUAUUCGACGGACUAUGUCUUUUUAUAGAAAAUCUAAUAAGAUCUUGAACGUUUUCCAAAGAAUUGUUGUCGGGUCGAAAAAUUGGAUCUCUUUCAAAACGAAUGAUGAAAUAAUAGUUUAUUACCAAAUUGAUUAGAAAAUGCAUUCGACAACGAAUGUAAUUGGUUAACGAGCCGUUAGGCUAGUGUUGCCAACACACAAGUGUCGGAAGCCGUUCCUACUCAAUACGUUACAAAUAGUUUUUGCAUCGAAUAGUAAGAUAAAAAGUCUGCUAUUGGUAAAAAAAGGCACUACAUGAAAUUUAAUUUUUUACACGGAGAGAAAUUUAUGGUAACCGUUCCUGGUACGUUUAUGAAAUAUCAUCCUAUACCGUUAUGGUAAUGAUUACUUGGAAUUAUGGGAUAUAGGAUCAUACUUUCUGGGAAAAGUUCCCAUAAGUAUGGGAACAAUUCCUAUCAUUAUGGUAACAGUUCUUAUAUCGCAUGUGAAAGAAUUAUGGUAAUGAUUACCAUAAUAUUAUGCUAAUCGUUCGCAUUAUACUAUGGUAAUGGUUACCAUAUAUUAUGGUGAUGGUUACCAUAUUAUAUGGCAAUGGUUACCAUAAUGUUAUGGUAAUGGUUACCAUAAUGUUGCAGUAAUGGUUUCUAUAAUAUUAUGGUAAUGGUUAGCAUAUAUUACGGUAAUGGUUAACAUAUAAUAUGUUAAUGGUUACCAUAUAUUAUAGUAAUGGUUACCAUAUAUUACGGUAAUGGUUACCAUAUAUUACGGUAAUGGUUACCAUAUACUAUGGUGAUGGUUACCAUAAUAAUAUGGUAAUGAUUACUAUAAUAUAUAUGGGUGCCGUUCCUAUAAUUAACAUUUCAAAAAAACCGGUUACCAUGCAUUAUGCGAACAAUUCUCAUAAUAUUUUGUGAUGGUUACCAUAAAUUUCUCCGUGUAGUUAACCUAAAAUGAUUGAAUUGAAUGAAUAUAAAAUUAAUUUCUGCAUUAAUUUUGAUGCAAAAGAUGAUUAAAUUACAAUAGUAACAAUAAAAUAUGAUUUAAUUCAUUUUUAUUAUAAUUUAAAAUGAUUUGUAUUUCUUCCAACCUAUAGGAUAGUCAACAAAAUAUCUAAAGCUAUUAAAAAAUAUCUAAGGUAAAAAAUAAAUCCAUAUGAGAAUCCUGCCUUGAUUCUUAUACGGGUUUCCACUUGGCGUUUUCGGAUCGAUUCCCAUAUAGUUACCUAUAAGAAUCCAGCAUUGAUCGCGUAUAAAUUUUCACAGGGUCUCCUAGAGGAAUCCACACCAUACCAAGUCCUUAUAAGAAUCUAAUACAGAUUCCCAUGUGGAUUUUUAUGAUCGUUUUCCAUCGAAAUAUGCAUCAUGUCAAAAUCCAUCUGGGAAUCAGGUAUGGAUUAGGAAUGAGGAUAAUUGCCAAAGAGCGUCAAGUUUUUGAUACCAAUCCACGAUUAACAGUUUUUUGGGAAGUCCAAUUGCAUGUUCACUGAAAAAUGAUCCAAGUCAAUAUAUACAAACUGGCUUAGCGACAAUUGCCUACCGAAUAUAUCACUCACUAAAUGACAAUAGAUCAAACAAAUAUGACGUAUUAGAGGGAAGUUUACAUGAUUUAUCUCCUCAACGAACAUCAAUUAAUCAAUCACUAAUGUAUAUUUUUAAUAUGAUACAGUGAGUAAACACUGUCAAAAAUAAAGGUAAUGUUUCUCCCGAAAUGGAUGAAAUUGUUUUUUCGGUUUUUCGUUUUGUUUUUUGCAUAUAACUCAUGAACCACUUGCCCGAUUUACUACAAAAUAUAAUCAGAUCUAACUCUUGGUGAGCCCUUUCGAUUGCCACCAAGAACGUUCAAAGCGAUUGAUUCGUUCCAAAGAUAUCGUCGGACAAAAAUGAUAAUUUUGCAGUGAAG